rnacentral:rRNA from 1 species
UACGUAGGGGCCGAGCGUUGUCCGGAGUUACUGGGCGUAAAGCGCGCGCAGGCGGCUCGUCAAGCCUGACGUGAAAGCCCCCGGCUCAACCGGGAGGGUCGUCGGGACUGGCGGCUUGAGGUCGGCAGGGUUGGUGGAAUUCCCGGUGUAGUGGUGAAAUGCGUAGAGAUCGGAGGAACACCCGUGGCGAAGGCGGCCAACUGGGCCGACCUGACGCUGAGGCGCGAAGGCGUGAGGAGCGAACGG